rnacentral:lncRNA from 1 species
UUGCAGAGCCCUUUUGACGGCCGAUGCUGAUUGAACUCCUUCGAUCGAUGUCUGUCGAUUCUUCAGAUGCUUCAGAUCAUUGACAGACGUGCUUGAGAGGAUGUUAAAGAUCUCUCUAAGAUUUUGUGGGCUCACGAUACUCGUAGCUCACUUUCUCACUUCUCGAACCUCAGGCUAAAAUUCUAGGGAACUCACCGAAAAUCUUGCACCCACUUUUCUUUCUUUUCUUUCUUUUUCUCUUGGAAGGAUAUGGACUUCCUUCUCACGCACAAGACUUCUCACGUCCCAGAAUUUUUCUUCAAAAAUCUUCUUCUUGCACGCCCCACUCUUCUCCUCCUUUUAUAACAAUGUCAAACGUCUUAUCCAAAAGAAAGGAUAAAGAUGAGUAAUUGCAUAUUUGAAUUCAAAUGGACACCAACUCAUCCCUUUCCACUAAAUGCGUGAGGUGUGGCUUAAAUUAUGCAUGGAGUGAUUUCAUGAGAAACCUUUUCUCAUGUAAUAAAUGGGGCGUAAAAAAAGAGAUAAGGUG